rnacentral:tRNA from 1 species
GGCUGUGGCUCAGUGGUAGAGUGUUCACCUUGCCGUGCAAGGGCCUAGGUUCGAUCCUCAGCACCA